AGUGCCAACAUUGCUUUGUCUCUCGCUGGAGAAGCCUGUGAGAACGAGGAUGGGCAAAGUGUCAGGCUCUUGGUGCAGCUGAAAAUCCUUUGAGAUGGAAGAAAUGGCUGGAACAAAGGGGCAGAGGAACAAAAAGCCCUGAACUGCUUCGCCCCUGCCUCGUGGGGUCUUUAUCAUCUUAAACCUUGGGAUUUCUUUGAAUGAUGCAUUGGCCCACGUGGACCACCUUCCAUUUCCCAAGACUUUUUGAAGGCAAUGAAUGAGAAGAAAGCAGAGAAAACAGUGGGCGUGAGGUCAGAUGACUCAGGCUUGAGUACUGAUCACAUCAAGGAUUGGACGCACUGCUCUUAGGAAGGCACAACUUCUACUACUUUCAGUCUUAUCAACUGUGAGAGGUAAUAAU
rnacentral:lncRNA from 1 species